rnacentral:rRNA from 1 species
AUUGAACGCUGGCGGCAUGCCUUACACAUGCAAGUCGAACGGCAGCACGGGUGCUUGCACCUGGUGUCGAGUGGCGCACGGGUGAGUAUUACAUCGGAACAUGUCCUGUAGUGGGGGAUAGCCCGGCGAAAGCCGGAUUAAUACCGCAUACGAUCCACGUAUGACAUCGGGGGACCUUCUGGCCUCGCGCUAUAGGUUUGUCCGAUGGCUUAUUAGCUAGUUGGUGGGGUAAAGGCCUACCAAGGCGAAGAUCAGUAGCUGGUCUGAGAGGACGACCAGCCACACUGGGACUGAGACACGGCCCAGACUCCUACGGGAGGCAGCAGUGGGGAAUUUUGGACAAUGGGCGAAAGCCUGAUCCAGCAAUGCGGCGUGUGUGAAGAAGGCCUUCGGGUUGUAAAGCACUUUUGUCCGGAAAGAAAUCCUUGGCUCUAAUACAGUCGGGGGAUGACGGUACCGGAAGAAUAAGCACCGGCUAACUACGUG